AAGUGCUCAUUGGCAUAAAAUAAUGUACAUUUAGAUUUGAAUACUUGGAAAGCAUGCAGCUUAAUUUGUUGUCCCUUCAACGCAAAGCCAUUGGCUUAGAAAGAGCUUAUCACAGUCGAGGAUGGGGUUGAUUGCAUUAAAAUCGUCGGUAGACAAGUUGAACUGCUGUGGAACAGCAGAACAAGUAUCUCCACUUACUACUCCAUGCACUGAGACACAGUCUGGUGUGGACGCUGCUGCCCGAAGAGAAAAGUAGAAUGAUCCAAGAAAAUUAAAGUAGUGUUUAAUCUAAACACUUACGGCCAAGUACUAAUCGGCUUUCAACGAUGGAUGCAAGGAGGAUAAAAGACAGCA
rnacentral:lncRNA from 1 species